rnacentral:rRNA from 1 species
UACAGAGGGUGCAAGCGUUAAUCGGAAUUACUGGGCGUAAAGCGUGCGCAGGCGGUGAUGUAAGACAGGGGUGAAAUCCCCGGGCUUAACCUGGGAACUGCAUUUGUGACUGCAUCGCUGGAGUGCGGCAGAGGGGGAUGGAAUUCCGCGUGUAGCAGUGAAAUGCGUAGAUAUGCGGAGGAACACCGAUGGCGAAGGCAAUCCCCUGGGCCUGCACUGACGCUCAUGCACGAAAGCUAGGGGAGCAAACAGG